CGCCCCCGCGCCCCCGCGCCCCCCACCACUGCAGCUCCCCCGCGCCGCCGCCCCCGCGCCCCCGCGCCCUGAGCCGGACGAGGAGGAGGAGGAGACGACGACCGCCUCUAACUCAGCUCAGCCAGGCCACGCGCCGCAGGCCUCUCCCCCCAAUCCAGGCCGCCGCCCGGACUCAAGUCUGCAGCCUCUCCUCCUCAAGAAGAAGAAGAGUUUGUCCAGAACAAGAUCGCCAACGUCGAGGGGCUCCGGGAACUGACGAAGCUUCGCGUGCUCAACCUCAGCUACAACCAAAUUUCGUGCAUCGGCCACGUGCAUAGAGAUGCCCUCGUAUGUCGUGUACAAGGGUAAGGUUUCCGGAGUCUACGA